rnacentral:lncRNA from 1 species
AUGUGUUUUGAUCUUUUAUUUCUUAUAGGAAAUACAUCCAUUUUCUGUUUGAAUGGGGGGAAAGGAUCAGCAAUGAAAAACCACACAAGACCCACAGAAUUCAUUCUCCUGGGGCUAUCAGAUGACCCAGAGUUUCAGAUGGUGAUUUUUCUCUUUUUAAUCAUCACAUAUAUAUUAAGUGUCACUGGAAAUUUGACCAUCAUCAUUCUCACCUUGGUGGACUCCCAUCUACAGACACCUAUGUAUUUUUUCCUCAGGAACUUCUCUAUAUUAGAAAUUUCCUUUACAACUGUCUGUAUUCCUAGAUUUCUGGGCACAAUUAUCACCAGGGACAAAACGAUUUCAUACAAUGAUUGUACAGCUCAGAUGUUUUUCUUCAUUUUCUUGGGUAUCACCGAGUUUUAUCUUCUAACUGCUAUGUCCUAUGAUCGCUAUGUAGCUAUUUGCAAACCCCUGCAUUAUACAAGCAUCAUGAACAAUAGAGUCUGUGUAUUGCUUGUCUUUUGUGCUUGGCUGGCAGGGUUCUUAAACAUCUUCCCACCUGUUAUUCUUUUUCUCCAGUUAGAUUACUGUGGUUCCAAUAUCAUUGAUCACUUUGCUUGUGACUAUUUCCCCCUCUUGAAACUAUCCUGCUCAGACACAUGGCUCCUUGAAGUGAUUGGUUUUUACUCUGCAAUAGAGAUUCUGCUUUUUACUUUGGCAUUAAUAAUUCUAUCCUACAUGUUCAUCAUCAAGACAAUUCUGAGGCUGCCAUCUGCCAGUCAGAGAAAAAAGGCAUUUUCUACAUGCUCUUCUCACAUCAUUGUCAUUUCCAUCUCUUAUGGAAGCUGUAUAUUCAUGUAUGCCAACCCAUCAGCAAAAGAAAAGGUAUCCUUCACAAAAGGAGCAUCCAUUCUGAAUGCUUCUGUUCCUCCUAUGAUGAAUCCAUUUAUAUAUUCACUGAGGAACCAGCAAGUGAAACAAGCCUUCAAGGAGACCAUCCAAAAGGUUAUCUUUUUCUCCAGGAAAUGCAAGUGA